rnacentral:rRNA from 1 species
UGGGGAAUUUUGCACAAUGGGCGCAAGCCUGAUGCAGCGACGCCGCGUGAGGGAUGAAGGCCUUCGGGUUGUAAACCUUUUUCGCUCAUGGUCAAGCCGCAGCUUUGGGUUGUGGUGAGGGUAGUGGGUAAAGAAGCGCCGGCUAACUACGUGCCAGCAGCCGCGGUAAUACGUAGGGCGCGAGCGUUGUCCGGAAUUAUUGGGCGUAAAGGGCUUGUAGGCGGUUGGCCGCGUCUGCCGUGAAAUCCUCUGGCUUAACUGGGGGCGUGCGGUGGGUACGGGUUGACUUGAGUGCGGUAGAGGAGACUGGAAUUCCUGGUGUAGCGGUGGAAUGCGCAGAUAUCAGGAGGAACACCGGUGGCGAAGGCGGGUCUCUGGGCCGUUACUGACGCUGAGGAGCGAAAGCGUGGGGAGCGAACAGG